rnacentral:rRNA from 1 species
AUGCGGCAUAACCUUGUCAUGUGGAUGCUCGGUACAUCGUCGGAGAUCAGAAGGAAACAUCAGAAACGGCCAGUCGCGAGAUGGCAACAAGCAAGGUACGGCCGGCCGGCGGCAGCGGCGUUCACCAGCCGUUGGGCAGCAAGGCUAGCGCGUGCAUCGCCAUCCAUCCCGAGAAGACCAACAUAUAUCCAUGGAUGGAUCGGGGCGCCAGCCCGGAGACAUGAACUAGACAGAUCCAAGGGAAAACCAGUGAGAAGUUAUGGUAAUGAAGAGAGGGGGAAAACAAGAAACCAAGAUGUGCAGCAUACCUCGGUGCACCAUUAUCGGAGAUCAGGAGGAAACAUCUGCCGGGCGGCCGGCCGUGUCACCAGGUGA